rnacentral:rRNA from 1 species
GACGAACGCUGGCGGCGUGCUUAACACAUGCAAGUCGAGCGGUAAGGCCUCUUCGGGGGCACCCGAGCGGCGAACGGGGGCGUAACACGUGGGUGACCUGCCCUCAGCACUGGGAUAAGCCUGAGAAACUGGGUCUAAUACCGGAAAUGACGUUUCCUCGCAACGGGUUUGGGGGAAAGUUUUUUCGGCUGGGGAGGGGCGCGCGGCCCAUCAGCUUGUUGGUGGGGUGAUGGCCUACCAAGGCGACGACGGGUAGCCGGGAUGAGAGGGCGACCGGCCACACUGGGACGGAGACACGGCCCGGAAUCCUACGGGAGGCAGCAGUGGGGGAUACUGCGCAAUGGGCGGAAGGCUGACGCAGUGCCGCUGGGUGAGGAUGACGGCCGUGGGGUUGUAGCCCUCUUUUGACCCCGACGAAUUUGGACGGUAGGGGUAGAAGAAGCACCGGCCAACUACGUG